UACGUAGGGGGCCAGCGUUGUUCGGAAUUACUGGGUGUAAAGGGUUCGUAGGCGGUGCGGCAAGUCGGGAGUGAAAUCUCUGGGCUUAACCCAGAGGCUGCUUCCGAAACUGCUGUGCUUGAGUGUGGGAGAGGCGCGUGGAAUUGCAGGUGUAGCGGUGAAAUGCGUAGAUAUCAAGAGGAACACCUGAGGUGAAGACGGGUUGCUGGGCCAACACUGACGCUGAGGCGCGAAAGCCAGGGGAGCAAACGGG
rnacentral:rRNA from 1 species